UACAGAGGGUGCGAGCGUGUUCGGAAUUAUUGGGCGUAAAGGGCGCGUAGGCGGCGCCACAAGUCACUUGUGAAAACUCUGGGCUCAACCCAGAGCCUGCAGGCGAAACUGUGGUGCUGGAGUAUGGGAGAGGUGCGUGGAAUUCCCGGUGUAGCGGUGAAAUGCGUAGAUAUGCGGAGGAACACCGAUGGCGAAGGCAAUCCCCUGGACCUGUACUGACGCUCAUGCACGAAAGGCGUGGGGAGCAAACAGG
rnacentral:rRNA from 1 species